AAUGGACGAAAGUCUGACCGAGCGACGCCGCGUGCGGGAUGAAGGCCUUCGGGUUGUAAACCGCUGUCAGAGGGGAGCAAAUUUUGAGCAAUCCUUAGAGGAAGCACAGGCUAAGUUCGUGCCAGCAGCCGCGGUAAUACGAACUGUGCAAACGUUAUUCGGAAUCACUGGGCUUAAAGGGUGCGUAGGCGGCUAUGUAGGUCUGAUGUGAAAUCCCACGGCUCAACCGUGGAACUGCGUUGGAAACCAUGUAGCUUGAGGGAGACAGAGGAAAGCGGAACUGAUGGUGGAGCGGUGAAAUGCGCUGAGAUCAUCAGGAACACCGGUGGCGAAAGCGGCUUUCUGGGUCUCUUCUGACGCUGAGGCACGAAAGCUAGGGGAGCGAACGGGAUU
rnacentral:rRNA from 1 species